UAGGGAAUCUUCCGCAAUGGGCGAAAGCCUGACGGAGCAACGCCGCGUGAGUGAUGAAGGUCUUCGGAUCGUAAAACUCUGUUAUUAGGGAAGAAUAAAUGUGUAAGUAACUAUGCACGUCUUGACGGUACCUAAUCAGAAAGCCACGGCUAACUACGUGCCAGCAGCCGCGGUAAUACGUAGGUGGCAAGCGUUAUCCGGAAUUAUUGGGCGUAAAGCGCGCGUAGGCGGUUUUUUAAGUCUGAUGUGAAAGCCCACGGCUCAACCGUGGAGGGUCAUUGGAAACUGGAAAACUGGAGUGCAGAAGAGGAAAGUGGAAUUCCAUGUGUAGCGGUAAAAUGCGCAAAGAUAUAGAGGAACGCCAGUGGCGAAGGCGACUUUCUGGUCUGUAACUGACGCGGAUGUGCGAAAGCGUGGGGAUCAAACAGG
rnacentral:rRNA from 1 species